rnacentral:rRNA from 1 species
ACUCUUCCGAGAACAACCUCCGGUGCAAGUCCCCCUGACUGGGGCUCUUACCCCGAGAGGGUGCAAGGCCCGUAGCUGCCGGAAGGUUGUCCCGGAUGUCCUCUCCUGGGAGUCGGGUUGCUUGAGAGUGCAGCCCUAAUUAGGUGGUAAACUCCAUCUAAGGCUAAAUACGACCUGGAGACCGAUAGCGAACAAGUACCGUGAGGGAAAGUUGAAAAGGACUUUGAAGAGAGAGUUCAAGAGUACGUGAAACCGUUCGGAGGUAAACGAGUGGGCCCUCGAAGUCGGAAGGCGGGGGGACUCAGCCGAAGGCGUGGAUCCUGCGCGAGACACCCGGCUUCCCAAACAGGACCGGGCGCUCGCGAUUGUGGGUCUCGUCGCCGGCGCAUUUCUUCCCGUCCUCAGACGCUGCGACCGGUCGUGCACGCCACGAGCAGUCGGCCUUACUCGCGGGAAGCGGCAGGUAACCGGGUAGUGCUUCGGCGCUUUCCCGGUGUUUAGCCAUCCCGUUUUCGAGUUGCCGUUCGCACGACCGAAGGACACGGCCCCCAGGGGCCUCGCCGCGGCUUCCCUUCACGGGAUGGUUGCUCUCUCGGAAGAGAUGUCGUCGUCCUCCCGUUUCACCCCAGGUGUGCGGGAGGCGGCGGCGCUCGUUGGCCGGGAGGCUCUCCAUCGGCCGCAGGCGGUCGGCAGCGAGUAGGUCGGUCACCCACUCGACCCGUCUUGAAACACGGACCAAGGAGUUUAACAUGCACGCGAGUCAUUGGGUCUUGCACAGGCCCAAAGGCGCAAUGAAAGUGAAGGGCGGCUCUCGCCGUCUACGUUGGGAUCCGUUAACUCUGUUAGCGGCGCACCAACGGCUCGUCCGGACCGCCACGUCGGCCGGGCGAAGCUAGAGCGUGCACGUUGAGACCC